rnacentral:rRNA from 1 species
AGAGCGUACGCUGGCGGCACGCCUAAUACAUGCAAGUCGAACGAAGUAGCAAUACUUAGUGGCAGACGGGUGAGUAACAUGUAGGUAUCUACCCUUUGGCCUGGAAUAACACGAGGAAACUUGUGCUAAUACCGGAUAAGUCUUUACGGAGAAAGCUUUAUGCACCAUUGGAUGAGCCUGCACUUGAUUAGUUUGUUGGUGGGGUAAUGGCCUACCAAGACAAUGAUCAAUAGCUGAUUUGAGAGGAUGAUCAGCCACAUUGGGACUGAGACACGGCCCAAACUCCUACGGGAGGCAGCAGUAGGGAAUCUUGCACAAUGGAGGAAACUCUGAUGCAGCGAUGCCGCGUGAGUGAAGAAGGCCCUUGGGUUGUAAAGCUCUUUCGUCGGGGAAGAAAAUGACUGUACCCGAAUAAGAAGGUCCGGCUAACUUCGUGCCAGCAGCCGCGGUAAUACGAAGGGACCUAGCGUAGUUCGGAAUUACUGGGCUUAAAGAGUUCGUAGGUGGUUAAAAAAGUUGGUGGUGAAAUCCCAGAGCUUAACUCUGGAACUGCCAUCAAAACUUUUUAGCUAGAGUAUGAUAGAGGAAAGCAGAAUUUCUAGUGUAGAGGUGAAAUUCGUAGAUAUUAGAAAGAAUACCGAUUGCGAAGGCAGCUUUCUGGAUCAUUACUGACACUGAGGAACGAAAGCAUGGGUAGCGAAGAGGAUUAGAUACCCUCGUAGUCCAUGCCGUAAACGAUGUGUGUUAGACGUUGGAAAUUUAUUUUCAGUGUCGCAGCGAAAGCAAUAAACACACCGCCUGGGGAGUACGACCGCAAGGUUAAAACUCAAAUGAAUUGACGGGGACCCGCACAAGUAGUGGAGCAUGUGGUUUAAUUCGAAGAUACGCGCAGAACCUUACCAACACUUGACAUGUUCGUCGCGACUCUAAGAGAUUAGAGUUUUCGGUUCGGCCGGACGAAACACAGGUGCUGCAUGGCUGUCGUCAGCUCGUGUCGUGAGAUGUUGGGUUAAGUCCCGCAACGAGCGCAACCCUCACUUUUAGUUGCCAUCAUUUAGUUGGGCACUCUGAAAGAACUGCCAGUGAUAAGCUGGAGGAAGGUGGGGAUGACGUCAAGUCCUCAUGGCCCUUACGUGUUGGGCUACACACGUGCUACAAUGGUAUCUACAACAGGAAGCAAGACUGCGAAGUUAAGCAAAUCCCUAAAAGAUACCUCAGUUCGGAUUGCACUCUGCAACUCGAGUGCAUGAAGCUGGAAUUACUAGUAAUCGUGGAUCAGCGUGCCACGGUGAAUGCGUUCCCGGGUCUUGUACACACCGCCCGUCACACCAUGGGAGUUGGUUCUACCUUAAGGCAAGGUUUCAAACCCUUGACCACGGU